rnacentral:lncRNA from 1 species
GUACCUGAGAGCAUUCAAAAGACACCAUUUGGGCAGGUAGGAACCACUCUGGAUUUCAGUAAAAGGCAAUGCAGAAAAUUCUAUACAAAGCUAUUCAAAAUCAUCCUAUCUUAUCCCUGCUGCGUCAAUAUCCAAGAAGAACAGAUAAUUAUGAUGCAAAUUUCCUCUCUGGAAAAAGAUCCCUUGUGAUGGAACCGGAGAAAACAAUCACCGC